rnacentral:rRNA from 1 species
UCAAAUUUGAAAUCUGGCACCUUCGGUGUCCGAGUUGUAAUUUGAAGAAGGUAACUUUGGAGUUGGCUCUUGUCUAUGUUCCUUGGAACAGGACGUCACAGAGGGUGAGAAUCCCGUGCGAUGAGAUGUCCAACUCUAUGUAAAGUGCUUUCGAAGAGUCGAGUUGUUUGGGAAUGCAGCUCUAAGUGGGUGGUAAAUUCCAUCUAAAGCUAAAUAUUGGCGAGAGACCGAUAGCGAACAAGUACAGUGAUGGAAAGAUGAAAAGAACUUUGAAAAGAGAGUGAAAAAGUACGUGAAAUUGUUGAAAGGGAAGGGUUUGAGAUCAGACUUGGUAUUUUGUAUGUCUUGCUUUCGGGUGGGGCCUCUGCAGUUUACUGGGCCAGCAUCGGUUUGGACGGUAGGAUAAUGACAUUGGAAUGUGGCACUACUUCGGUGGUGUGUUAUAGACUUUGUUGAUACUGCCUGUCUAGACCGAGGACUGCGUCUUUGACUAGGAUGCUGGCAUAAUGAUCCUAAAC